rnacentral:rRNA from 1 species
UGGGGAAUAUUGGACAAUGGGCGCAAGCCUGAUCCAGCCAUGCCGCGUGAGUGAUGAAGGCCUUAGGGUUGUAAAGCUCUUUUAUCCGGGACGAUAAUGACGGUACCGGAGGAAUAAGCCCCGGCUAACUUCGUGCCAGCAGCCGCGGUAAUACGAAGGGGGCUAGCGUUGCUCGGAAUCACUGGGCGUAAAGGGCGCGUAGGCGGCGUUUUAAGUCGGGGGUGAAAGCCUGUGGCUCAACCACAGAAUGGCCUUCGAUACUGGGACGCUUGAGUAUGGUAGAGGUUGGUGGAACUGCGAGUGUAGAGGUGAAAUUCGUAGAUAUUCGCAAGAACACCGGUGGCGAAGGCGGCCAACUGGACCAUCACUGACGCUGAGGCGCGAAAGCGUGGGGAGCAAACAGGAUUAGAUACCCUGGUA